rnacentral:rRNA from 1 species
AGUCAACCUAACCUAUGGACGGGAAUAACCUCGGGAAACUGAGAAUAAUGCCCGAUAGAACAUUAUGCCUGGAAUGGUUUAUGUUCCAAAUGAUUUAUCGCCGUAGGAUGGGACUGCGGCCUAUCAGUUUGUUGGUGAGGUAAUGGCCCACCAAGACUAUUACAGGUACGGGCUCUGAGAGGAGUAGCCCGGAGAUGGGUACUGAGACACGGACCCAGGCCCUAUGGGGCGCAGCAGGCGAGAAAACUUUGCAAUGUGCGAAAGCACGACAAGGUUAAUCCGAGUGGUUUCUGCUAAAGAAACCUUUUGUCAGUCCUAGAAACACUGAUGAAUAAGGGGUGGGCAAGUUCUGGUGUCAGCCGCCGCGGUAAAACCAGCACCUCAAGUGGUCAGGAUGAUUAUUGGGCCUAAAGCAUCCGUAGCCGGCUCUGUAAGUUUUCGGUUAAAUCUGUACGCUCAACGUACAGGCUGCCGGGAAUACUGCAGAGCUAGGGAGUGGGAGAGGUAGACGGUACUCGGUAGGAAGGGGUAAAAUCCUUUGAUCUAUUGAUGACCACCUGUGGCGAAGGCGGUCUACCAGAACACGUCCGACGGUGAGGGAUGAAAGCUGGGGGAGCAAACCGGAUUAGAUACCCGGGUAGUCCCAGCUGUAAACUAUGCAAACUCAGUGAUGCAUAGGCUUGUGGCCAAUGCAGUGCUGCAGGGAAGCCGUUAAGUUUGCCGCCUGGGAAGUACGUACGCAAGUAUGAAACUAA